CAACAUCAUGAAUUCCAACCAGCAAGCUGUAGUCCAUGAGUUUCAACUGAGCAAGGAACUUUGAAGGCAACAAUAAAAGAAGGGAUAUGUGUAAAUUGGUCCUUUACACAAAGGCAGAGGAAGCAGUAAAGGAAGGUGAAGAUGCAUUGGCAAAGGAGAAGAGAAAAAGGCCGCACAACAAGUGCUUACAUUUAGAAACCGUGCUAAACCUUGGAGCUUCUUCUUCCCCUGUUGUUUACAGAGAAACAACUAUGGUUAACAUCAACCAUAGUUUAGAUGCAAAUGGAAUGCUAGACUGUAGUUAAUGGAAAACAGAAGCAAAAGCUUCUAACAGGGAAGCUCAUGAGCCGGGAGCUCCCUGAGAAUCAUUCUCAUCACACUAAACUAUGGUUUAGUGAAAAGUCCGAACUCUCCCAAGCAGAAGACACCUAGACUUGUAUUACUAUUGAGAAUACAAUAACAUGAAUAUAGGUAUUGGAGGAGGGAUGGUAUUGACUUUACUUGCAUGGUACAAUGCCAUAAAGGAUUUUAAAAAAAAUAAAAAGUACUCUUUUUUUAACAGCAGAAUAAGUCAAAUUCUUAAGUGCAAAAGUUAACAAUUUACACAAUUAUUAUU